rnacentral:rRNA from 1 species
GAUGCUAAAAGAAUGGAAUUUUAAAAAAGAUCUUUUUUAAAAAUAAAAAUUGAAUUUUUUUUAAUUUGUGCAGAAACAAUUAUUUAUAUUAAGGACAAGAAGACCCUAAGAAUUUAUAAUUAAAUAAAUUAAAAUUUUAAUUUAUUUAAUUUUGAUUGGGGUGAUCGAAAAAUAUUAAUAACUUUUUUGAAUUUAAAUGAUCUAUUAUUAAUAAAUGAAUGAAAUAAAUACUCUAGGGAUAACAGCGU